GCUAUGUUCGAAAGCGGUCAGCCCGACGAGACGCGCCGUACCGGGAUCCCCGACCCCCAGGAAAAGACGACGCACC
rnacentral:ncRNA from 1 species